UUGACAAUCCUGUAGGCUGAAGCCCUCUGUUUGCCCACAGACAAGGGACAGCAUGGACAGUGGCCAUACAAGCUCUCCACUGCCCCCUUUGCCCCCAUCUGCUCUACCAGUGUGCCCCAACUUGACCUAGAAGGGCUGCCUUUAAGGUGGAGAGGGGAGAUCCGACUCUCCUUCAAUGCUAUGGUGAC
rnacentral:sRNA from 1 species